rnacentral:rRNA from 1 species
CCUACGGGGGGCAGCAGUGAGGAAUAUUGGACAAUGGGCGCAAGCCUGAUCCAGCCAUGCCGCGUGCAGGAUGACGGUCCUAUGGAUUGUAAACUGCUUUUGCACAGGAAGAAACAACGCUACGUGUAGCGUCUUGACGGUACUGUGAGAAUAAGGAUCGGCUAACUCCGUGCCAGCAGCCGCGGUAAUACGGAGGAUCCAAGCGUUAUCCGGAAUCAUUGGGUUUAAAGGGUCCGUAGGCGGUUUAGUAAGUCAGUGGUGAAAGCCCAUCGCUCAACGGUGGAACGGCCAUUGAUACUGCUAGACUUGAAUUAUUAGGAAGUAACUAGAAUAUGUAGUGUAGCGGUGAAAUGCUUAGAGAUUACAUGGAAUACCAAUUGCGAAGGCAGGUUACUACUAAUGGAUUGACGCUGAUGGACGAAAGCGUGGGUAGCGAACAGGAUUAGAUACCCCAGUAGUC